CAAUAGCGAUGAGUUUGCUAAUGUUUGCGGAACGGAUAGGGAGUGUAGUAUAGACUGGCGAAGAAUGAAAUCUCAAGACCCAGUUUGGACUAACGGAGGCGAAGGCGACACUCUUAGACGUAUCUUAGGAUCAAGGACGAAGGCAGGAGUAUCGAAAGUGAUUAGACACCGCUGUAGUUCCUGCAGUAAACUAUGCCGACAGCCUGUGUGUGAGAAUACGUGGGCGGGAGAAAUCUUAGUGUUCGGGCUCUGGGGAUAGUACGCUCGCAAGGGUGAAACUUAAAGCGAAAUUGACGGAAGGACACUACCAGGAGUGGAUUGUGCUGCUUAAUUUAACUCAACGCGGGAAAACUUACCAGGGUCAAGUCAUUCGUUGAUCGAAUACGUGAGAAUGGCAGGAGUGGUGCAUGGCCGUUGGAAAUUGAUGGGGCGACCUUUAGCUUAAAUGCUUAAACCAGUGAGACCUCCUUGACAGGUGUUCUGUAACACAGGAGGGUGGAGGCUAUAACAGGUCCGUGAUGCCCUUAGAUAUCCUGGGCAGCAAGCGCAAUACAAUAUCUCUUCAGUAGACAAAGUGAUUUGAGAUGAGUAGGAUCUACGUUUUAAAUACGUGGAAAAGAA
rnacentral:rRNA from 1 species